UGUAUAUUCCUAGCAGCACUAGGCCUCUAUUUAUAUCAGGCCUUGUUUACUCGACUAGAAGACGAGCAUAAGAGAAGUGAAGGAGAGAAAGAUGAUUAUUCAUACUUUAAUAUUUUAAAAUGGCCGUAGUUCAAAUAAAAAUAUAAGUA